rnacentral:lncRNA from 1 species
GAAGGAGCUGAAGGAGCCGGUCCGGGCACUCCGGGGCUGCCUGAGGGGAAAAAGGGAGUCCUGGGGCUCCUCUGCCUCAGGCAACUUCAUCUCGGCUCAGCUCAGCCCAGGGGGCCGCGCUAGCCCCAAACGCAGCAGGUGUCGCAGUGAAAAGCCCCAGGUGCUCGGGGCCGCGGUGCCGAUGGAGCUGAGGCGGGAAGAUGGAGGCCUGUGGGUCCCCUCACGGGCAGCGCGCGUGGGGUCGAUGGCUGAGAAGGACGUUCCCCACACUGUGUGUGCCAGCCUGCUGAGGAUGAGACUUGAAUUCCCUCCCAUUGAUCAUGGCCAAAGAAGAAAGCUCAAAUGGAGAUUUUAUUCCAGAAACAAUGGCCCCCUUAUGUGCUGUGUCGUGAUCUCUCUGAAUGAACCUGCUGGUGAAAUGAAGGCUUUUCCCUGGGCAGGACCCAGGCACAAGCCCAGCCAAGCUUUUUAUACGUGUCUGCAGAUGGACCUUUGCCCCUAUGGUUUGCCUGGCCCUCUCUUCACCCGUAGCCAGGCACUCCAGUGCAUGAAGUGGACGUUUUCCAGCCCUGAGCUGCCAGAGUUAAUUAACCCUCUGCUAAGGCCAGGCCAGUCUUUCUGGGAAACUAGAUCCAUUGGGCUGUGCAUUCCACAAGCCUCUCUUUGCCUGGCGUCUUGUGUAUCUGUACUGGAAAAAUCUGUUUCUUCCUCCAUAUAUUUGUUUUUUGGGAGUGGAGAGGGCAAAAGCCUGAGGAAGACAGAAAGGAUCAAGUUCCCUAAAUUUCCUUGCUGUCAUCAGCUGCCAAGAACUUGCCAUGGGAGAAAACCAACUCAAAGUUGCUGGAGAUGCCUUGGUUUUUCCUGGGCAGAAAAUAUAUACAUACAGUUUUCCCCAUCUCCUCUUCCUUGUGGCAAAGUUGUCUUUGUAUAA